CUCCCAUCCUCGUCUAUAGUGAUGAAUAAGGAAGUGUGCUCUCAUUCAAACACUUUACAGACUGAUGGGUGCAGCAAACCGCUUUACGUACGGGUUUUCAAGGCAGAGCUGUUCUAAGAUGAUACUUGAGUCCAAAGCAAAAGAUGCUGGAUUAGUUCCCCCUUGAGAGGAAGCUCAAGGCCCCCACAAACAAGUUCCUUCCUUUUGCAGUGCCUCAACGGAUCCUGGGACGGUCGGCGGCACCGACAUCGAGGCAUUCGUGGUUGUGGGCAAUAUGAUGUGCGUUUCCUGUGCGUGUGUGUGUGUGUGUGCGUGUGUUUAAAUAUGUGUGUGUUGCCAAGUCACGCAUUGUUUGUGAGAGGAUGUGUUGGGAGGGGUUGUGUCUAACAAAACCAAAAUCAGGCGUCUCUUCUUU